UUUAAAUUAAGAGAAAAGAAAGAAAGAAAUAAAAAAGAAAAAAGAGCUGGCCUUCGGCUUUGUUUCUUCUUCAUUGUGCUUGAAUUAUAAAAGGAGGAAUCAGGGUGUUGCAGCUCAUUUGCACUCCAGGCUUUCCUUCCUUGCCCGUGUAGAAAUAUUUAAGCCUGACAAAUACUUUUAGGAAAAAUUGUGUAAAUGUCCUAAAAAAACAAACCUCAUGUGGCCCACCCUCUUAUACUUUUCCCUAUAUUGUUUAGCUCCAAAAGACCCAACAAAAUAUGACAUAAGCCCAAAAGCCUAUAAGUAUACAUGUAUUUGAUGUAUUUGUGCUCUUUCGAAAUUGCCCUCUUCUCAUGAAAACUCAUCCCCAAAAGAUCAUAACUGAUCCUUCCUCCUAUUCUCCUCUGCUCCUCUCCUCCUCUCCCCUAACCUACUUUUCUCCUCUAUCUCCCUCUUACUCUUCUUACCCUUCGGCCCCGAUGUUUUCCUCUCUCGCCUCCUCCUCCUCCGCCACCGAGUGUACCCACCAGCCCUCUCAUCUUAGACAAGCGUUGAAAGCUAUUUGAGUUUUGGUGUAAUUAUAAUUCUUAGUUUAAAUAAUACUAUUCAAAAUAGUUAUAUUAUCUAUAUGUUAUAAAAUAUUUAUCUAAUUUAAUUUUUUAAUUAUUCUCAUAAAUAACUUAGUACUAUAAAUUUUUUAUAAAUUUUUACUGUGCUAAAUAUUAACAAUUUAUAGUAUUAUUUUUAAUAUUAAAUAAUUUUUUUAGAAAAAAGGCUAGUUUCCAAUCAUUACCAACUAUAGAUUAUUCAGUAUCAUGUAAUAGUCUUUGA